UGUUGCCUUCUUCACAAACCGAACAACGUAGCACCUUGUGCCUACAAUCUUACAGAGGAUUGCUGUCUUCUACCGACCGGCAAACCGUAAGCAGCUACAGUGUGACGUCAGAAGGGAACCAUUUUGAACCACCUUGAACCAUUUUGUUUUCGCGGAGCGAAUCAUGGUUCGGAAAGCAAUCAACUUCGAUCUUACUGAGACAACCGUGGUAACAGCGGAGGAAGCUUGUAAUCUUCUCGAAAUCCGCCAUAUUGACUUCACCGGUGCCAUGGAACGGCCAUCUUGGAAUGACUAAUUUGCGUGCCGUACAAAUACUUGAGAAUAGAAUUCUCAAUUAAUUUGUGUUGUGAUGUGACUAUGAUUGAUAAUGGAAUUAAUGAAUGCGCAUACGACGUCAGGUUGUUGCAUUACUGAGUUGCUGGUAAUAGGUGACAACUAUAUCAAUGAGUUCAUCUCUGGUGAGUCCGUUUCAUUAUAUUUCCCUAGGAGUUUAUUAAGAAUUAUUAGGCAGAGCUGUGUGAACACAUACAUAUAUGUGCCCAUAAUUAUGAAAGUGGUCUAAGUCAACAAUUUAAAGAAAUUAUAUAAACAUAACUUGAAAAUACCGCGUGGUCCUCUUUGUCGCGUUGCUGAACUACAUAAUAAUGAAAAUAAAAAAAGCAAAUUAUUGCAAACCAAACUCACGUGUAACAACGUGCUCGCUGAGUAUAUACAAAGUCGAUUUUCUCGACAACGGAGCCCUAAGUGGAAAAAAUCUUAUUCCUUAUUUUCGACUUAUUUUUUCAUAUAGAAUCACCUCCAUUGUAUAAUUUUUCUUUUAAUUAAUUGAAUUUAAUCUGUUCAUAUUUUUAUUAAUAUAUAUUUAGUGUUUUUCUAUAUAAUCUGUAUCUGUAGGACAUUAACGCACAAACGUCACCUGAAAACGAGAUCAUGUAUUCGAAUGGUUGUACUCGAAUUAGAAAAAUUAAUUCCUAAAAAGAAAUCAUUCUUAUUAAGACCUAAUUUCUGUGCAUAAAUUUGAACAUUAACAAUCACAUAUCUGUUUGAACCGCUCAAAUGAACAUGGUAAUAUACGUAUAUAAUACUUGUAUUGUAUGUAUUGUAAUAAGUAGACUCUGCCGAUUUUUUAGGCAUUUAUAAUAAAAAUGAAUAAGAAUUUGAGAAAUUUAAGAAUAAUGUCACAUUACGUUCAACUUAUUACAAUUAUAAGAA